rnacentral:rRNA from 1 species
GACGAAGGAUGCAAGCGUUAUCCGGAUUCAUUGGGUUUAAAGGGAGCGUAGGCGGACUUGUAAGUCAGUGGUGAAAUCUGCGGGCUUAACCCACAAACUGCCAUUGAUACUGCAGGUCUAGAGUACAGUUGCCGUUGGCGGAAUAUGACAUGUAGUGGUGAAAUACUUAGAUAUGUCAUAGAACACCGAUUGCGAAGGCAGCUAACGAAGCUGUAACUGACGCUGAGGCUCGAAAGUGCGGGGAUCAAACAGG